CGUGCCUUGAUUUUCCCUUUUCCUCUUCAAACCCACGACAAUCUUUUGGCCAUUAUGCAGAACCUUAGUUAACUCUGUUUCCAUAUUCAUCUACAAGAACAAUCCUUAUCUACAAACUAUAUCCUAAAGAUCAACUAUUAUAUUUACAAAUCUCUUCUUCACUAUCCAGGGGUUAGAUAAGCCAUGCAAUUGAGAAAAUUCAUAGACCCGUUGUCUACAGUCAGCGGUCAUUCUGUACAAGCCGCUCCUUUUCCCCAUUUUCUGCAGCUACCAAAUCAAUCCAAUUACACCCAAGCAGCUAACGAACCAUUGAAAUCAUGAAAUCUGAGAG
rnacentral:misc_RNA from 1 species